CUCCCCUCCCCUUCCAAAACUGAGGUGUCUUCUCAGGUCUGGCCACAUGCAGCUCACAGACAAGACCCUCUGAUGGCUUUUCUUCAGAGCAGAAGUAUUCGCUGUCAAGUCUUAAUUUCCAUUUUGUGGGGGAGAAGCCCAGUUGUUCAGGAGUCUGUAAUGAGAUGACUUCCCUGCAGUGCGUUUGCCCUUGCAAGAAUCUUCCAACGUUCCAGGCCAAAAAGGAGCAUUUGGGUGCUGAGUUGCAGGGCAGGGGGGNNNNNNNNNNNNNNNNNNNGCCCCGGGGGGGGAGGCGGGGGGGCCCUGGGGUGGCCCUGGGCCUGGUCCUGCCCUGGAGUCGGGGUGGGGGCCUAGACCUGCUGGACAGGCCCUGCCAGGCUCACCACUUGAACUGCUGCUCUGGGUCUACGUCCUCCUGUGAGUCAGCCGUGCAGUUCAGUUUAGAAUACACGGGGGGGGUUGGGGGGGUGCACUGGCCUGCAUACUCACCCACGUGCAAGUGCACACGCCCACACACGCACACACGCGCACACACAAGAGCACACGUGUGUACAGGCACCACAGCGCUUCCUGGAGGGGCCGGUGUUCUGCUUUUGCUCUGCGUUCCUAACUGUGCUCUUUCCUUCACCCUGAGCCCUCCAUCCUGCCCAGGGAAGAAGGCACAGAGGAGCCGUAUCAGCCCGGGCUGCCGUCCCCUGCUCACAGCCAGCAGGGCACCCAGGCACGUGUGGGCCCGGGAGGACUCGGUUCCCACCAGGAGCACCGGGAGUCCCGAGUUGCGGGCUUUGGCCACAUCUUCGUGA
rnacentral:lncRNA from 1 species